rnacentral:rRNA from 1 species
GUGACGGGAAUGACGGUACUCUGGGAAUAGCAUCGGCUAACUCCGUGCCAGCAGCCGCGGUAAUACGGAGGAUGCGAGCGUUAUCCGGAUUUAUUGGGUUUAAAGGGUGCGUAGGCGGAUAGAUAAGUCAGUGGUGAAAUUCUGCAGCUUAACUGUAGACUUGCCGUUGAUACUGUCAGUCUUGAGUAUGGUCAAGGCAGGCGGAAUGUGUAAUGUAGCGGUGAAAUGCUUAGAUAUUACACAGAACACCGAUUGCGAAGGCAGCUUGCUGGGCCAUUACUGACGCUGAUGCACGAAAGCGUGGGGAUCGAACAGGAUUAGAUACCCUGGUAGUCCACGCCGUAAACGAUGAUCACUCGCUGUUGGCGAUACACAGUCAGCGGCUAAGCAAAAGCAUUAAGUGAUCCACCUGGGGAGUACGGCCGCAAGGCUGAAACUCAAAGGAAUUGACGGGGGCCCGCACAAGCGGAGGAACAUGUGGUUUAAUUCGAUGAUACGCGAGGAACCUUACCUGGGCUUAAAUGUAGAGUGCAUUGGUGAGAAAUCAUCAUUUUCUUCGGAACUCUCUGCAAGGUGCUGCAUGGUUGUCGUCAGCUCGUGCCGUGAGGUGUCGGGUUAAGUCCCAUAACGAGCGCAACCCUUAUCGUUAGUUGCCAGCGGGUAAUGCCGGGGACUCUAGCGAAACCGCCGGUGUAAACCGAGAGGAAGGUGGGGAUGACGUCAAAUCAGCACGGCCCUUAUGUCCAGGGCUACACACGUGUUACAAUGGCCGGUACAGAGGGCAGCUACCUGGAGACAGGAUGCGAAUCUCGAAAGCCGGUCUCAGUUCGGAUCGGAGUCUGCAACUCGACUCCGUGAAGCUGGAUUCGCUAGUAAUCGCGCAUCAGCCAUGGCGCGGUGAAUACGUUCCCGGGCCUUGUACACACCGCCCGU